rnacentral:lncRNA from 1 species
GGCCUUGGUCCUUCCAUUGAUUCAUAAGUACAACACCCUACUUCUCGGAUACAGAGCCAUCGCGGAAUGUUCGCUGGAGUGAGGCAGCGUAUGGAGCACAUGGGACAUGCAGACCCAGCCAGAUGGACAUCUUACAAACUUUCAGAGGAGCUGAAGCCAGAUUGUUUCUUACAAAUGGUCACCAGAAGGAGGACAAUCACACUGUCUCAUCCUCCUCUGCAAAUCCCACAGAAAGGACACAGUAGAGUGGGCAAGAAUGCAAAGAAGGUCUGUGGUUUGGAACUGGCCCAAGCCGAACUAAACUUUUCUAAAUAUACAUUAAACUGUCAACAAAGAGCACCGUGACCCACAGCCUGAAUAAAGGGAGAGCCCCAAGUCCCUCUGAAGCCACUAGUUCUGUGAGUUGUUUUAGGGAGAAGACAGACAACCAAGGAUUAUUUACCUUAUUAGACUGUGCCCAUCCAAGCCCAGGUAAAACUUUUUGAUGAGCAGAAAACUGGAAUUAUUUCCCUUUCUCUAUCGUGGAUUGAGUGUGAAUUCCCCAGAGAAACUUGGCUUUGAGAGCACUAGCUGGACAUAUAGGGGUCCAUUUUCAAUCUGCUCUGUGAAGGGCCCUGUCUUCAUCCUAAAGGAAGGCUUUAGAAAACUGUUAUCUAAGAUCUAGGAUUGAAGAUGGUGAGAACCUGAGGCUGAGCAAUUGGCCCCAAUUCUUCCUGAAGCAUUAUCUGAGAGAGACAGCCUAGCCUGUGGUUUUUGACCCCUGGC